rnacentral:lncRNA from 1 species
CGGACGCAUUUAUCGUUGGUGGGGCAGCAAUGGUUAAUUCCAGGUCACAAAGUUGGGCAACAAUAUUUGAUGAUUAUGCAAAUGAUGUCAUACUGCCUUACAUAAAAUCUUGCAUCGAUAAGUAUUCAAGAGUAGACAUUGUAUUUGAUGUUUACUAAAUGAAUAAUUUAAAGGCUGUGACAAGACAAAGGCAAGGUUUUUGUGCCAGAUGGAAAGGUGUUGGUUCUGGUAGAACACCAA